UGUACUUGAAGCUACUCGAACAAAAGGGUAAAAAGGGUGAAGAACAUCAUAUAUCUUCCCCAAGCAAACCUCUUGAUGCCGAAGAAGACGGCAAUGAGACGGGGGAUGAUGAUGAUGAAGGUGAAGACUUGUCAUCCGAAGAUGGAGGAAAUGUGAACACCAAUGAUAGCAACUCCAAGAAACAUCCUAGAGAAGAGGAAGCCGGUGCUGAAGAGAAUGGUGAUGAUGAUGAUGAUGAGGGUGGUGGUGAAGACAGUCCAGAUGAUGAAGAUAAUGAUAAACCUGAUGAAGAAGAUGACGACGAAGAUGGGCCUGAUGAAGGCGAGGAAGAUACUGUGGAAGAAGAAGAGGACGAUGAAGAAGAGGAAGAGGAAGAGGAAGAUGAGGAAGAAG
rnacentral:lncRNA from 1 species